GACUCGCAGAUGACCCCUAUUGAUUUUGAGGUCACUAGGUCAAAGGUCAAGGUCACGGUGACCCGAAAUAGUAAAAUGGUUUUCAGAUGAUAACUCAAGAACGCAUACGCUUAGGAUCAUGAAACUUCAUGGGUAGAUUGAUCAUGACUUGCAGAUGACCCCUAUUGAUUUUGAGGUCACUAGGUCAAAGGUCAAGGUCACGGUGACCCGAAAUAGUAAAAUGGUUUCCGGAUGAUAACUCAAGAACGCAUACGCCUAGGAUCAUGAAACUUCAUAGGUAGAUUGAUCAUGACUCGCAGAUGACCCCUAUUGAUUUUGAGGUCACAAGGUCAAAGGUCAAGGUCACGGUGACCCGAAAUAGUAAAAUGAUUUUCGGAUGAUAACUCAAGAACGCUUUUGCCUAGGAUCAUGACACUUCAUAGGUACAUUGAUCGUGACUCGCAGAUGACCCCUAUUGAUUUUCAGGUCACUAGGUCAAAGGUCAAGGUCACAGUGACAAAAAUCGUGCUCACACAAUGGCUGCCACUACAAUGGACAGCCCAUAUGGGGGGCAUGCAUGUUUUACAAACAGCCCUUGUU